rnacentral:rRNA from 1 species
UCUGGCGGCAGUAGCGCGGUGGUCCCACCUGACCCCAUGCCGAACUCAGAAGUGAAACGCCGUAGCGCCGAUGGUAGUGUGGGGACUCCCCGUGCGAGAGUAGGGAACUGCCAGAC